GUUUUUGUUUUUUUUUUUUUUUUUGUUUUUUUUUGCCUUUUGAAUGGGAACAUCCACCGGUGACAGGAUUAUGUAAGCUAAUAGCUAAUGUGUCAAAGGAAAGGAGAGAAAAGAAACAGCCAUGGCAACCGGGGCAAUAGGACGGCAAUAGGACCCAGGCUUUGGCCUUCAGAAGAAAACUGUAUCCACCUAGCAAAACUAGGACAAAGAGUAACUUGGAGAAAACCAGAGGGGAUGGUGAACAGAAAAGUCAACAAUGGGAAAUGGCAGACUGUGGCCUAGGCAUCCUCCGGCUGUCAGAUCUCGGCUUAUUUUAUGAGACAUAAUCUGCCAUCUUCAGGAGUGUAAACCUGGGCUGUCAUUGUCCUCUUCCUCAAGUCUCUGGGUUCUUCCCUUCAUGCUCGCCGGUGCUUUGGUGGGAAGAUUGUGUUUUUCUUUGAAUAUCACCUUUUCUAAGGAUAGAGGCAGGUGGCACUAUGAUCAGAGAACCUUUAUCCUCCUCUGCAUUCCUCCCCGAUGCUCGAUGCUCAGCUCUUCCCAGAGAAAUGGCCCUCAACCCAAUGCAGGGUCAAUCGCUAGCCUCAGGAACAAUCACCCCAAGAUUCUCAAGGUAAGUGAGACAGCCUGAGAAAGACCACCUCCUCCCAUAAAAUGCGAAAAAGCUCACAACUUGUUCAUUGGUUCAUUUGAUUUAAUGCCAAAAGGUUGGAACAGUAUUACAGUUCCCUUAAGUGUUCCUUUGAGAUUUAGACAAAAGAAACAACAAAUGUUUGCUGCUUUGGUUUAGAUUUUUUAAGUUUAGACUUCAGUACUCUAGCACAGUCUUAAGGUAUUUGGUAAUUCUACAAGUUUAAUUUUUAAAUGUUAGAGUUAACUUUUAUGUCACGUUUCUCAAAAACUAUAUGAAUUUACAAGGUACUCCUCUCCCUAUAUUCCUUUAAAUAAUACCCAAAACACAACUCUCAUAUACCCUUCUAAGUUUUACUGCCUUGACUACAGGGAUUUUAUGUCUCUUAUUUGGCAUUGCUGUUUAUUGUCACUUCCCCCAUAAUUCUGGUUUUUGCUGGCCUGUUUUUUUAUUUUAUCCUUUUGAAAGUCUUUCUUCACCAUGCUAAGUCAAACUUUGAAACUUGAUAAACGCCACAAAAUUUUUCUUAACAUGGAACAAGAUCGCCACCCAGUGGCCAUGCUGAGCUUCACUCUAUGCAUUUUUCCAGAUUUUUCCCCUCACAUUUUUAUUUAUCUGGACGGCAGAACAGAGGCGUCCUUAAAGAAUAGCCCAGCCCCUUCGUUUUUCUGAGGAGAAAAUUAAAGGUCAGAAAGGUUAAUAUCUGGUCAAGUCCACAAUACCACAAUAAGACCCCUGCCUUAGGACAGGCUUCAGUCCUCAUGUUUUCAACGACUACCUCAGAACUGGAGGUGACCUUCAGGAUCAGCCAAUCCAAGCCCUCUAUCGUACAGAUGAGGAAACUGAGGCACAGAGAAGAAAAAUGGCUUCUCAGGGUUUAUGGAGCUGACUAAACGGGACAAAACCCAGCUUUAUUAACACUUAGCCUGAUGUUCAUUCUCCUACUUAGACCAAUCUCAUUUUAAAUAUUUUAUUUUCCCCUUUGGAUUAUCAUAAUUCCAG
ensembl:lncRNA